rnacentral:rRNA from 1 species
AAAUUGAAGAGUUUGAUCAUGGCUCAGAUUGAACGCUGGCGGCAGGCCUAACACAUGCAAGUCGAACGGUAACAGGAAGCAGCUUGCUGCUUCGCUGACGAGUGGCGGACGGGUGAGUAAUGUCUGGGAAACUGCCUGAUGGAGGGGGAUAACUACUGGAAACGGUGGCUAAUACCGCAUAACGUCGCAAGACCAAAGAGGGGGACCUUCGGGCCUCUUGCCAUCAGAUGUGCCCAGAUGGGAUUAGCUUGUUGGUGAGGUAACGGCUCACCAAGGCGACGAUCCCUAGCUGGUCUGAGAGGAUGACCAGCCACACUGGAACUGAGACACGGCCCAGACUCCUACGGGAGGCAGCAGUGGGGAAUAUUGCACAAUGGGCGCAAGCCUGAUGCAGCCAUGCCGCGUGUAUGAAGAAGGCCUUCGGGUUGUAAAGUACUUUCAGCGGGGAGGAAGGUGUUGUGGUUAAUAACCGCAGCAAUUGACGUUACCCGCAGAAGAAGCACCGGCUAACUCCGUGCCAGCAGCCGCGGUAAUACGGAGGGUGCAAGCGUUAAUCGGAAUUACUGGGCGUAAAGCGCACGCAGGCGGUCUGUCAAGUCGGAUGUGAAAUCCCCGGGCUCAACCUGGGAACUGCAUUCGAAACUGGCAGGCUUGAGUCUUGUAGAGGGGGGUAGAAUUCCAGGUGUAGCGGUGAAAUGCGUAGAGAUCUGGAGGAAUACCGGUGGCG